rnacentral:rRNA from 1 species
GAUGAACGCUGGCGGCGUGCCUAAUACAUGCAAGUCGAGCGAACAGACGAGGAGCUUGCUCCUCUGACGUUAGCGGCGGACGGGUGAGUAACACGUGGAUAACCUACCUAUAAGACUGGGAUAACUUCGGGAAACCGGAGCUAAUACCGGAUAAUAUAUUGAACCGCAUGGUUCAAUAGUGAAAGACGGUUUUGCUGUCACUUAUAGAUGGAUCCGCGCCGCAUUAGCUAGUUGGUAAGGUAACGGCUUACCAAGGCAACGAUGCGUAGCCGACCUGAGAGGGUGAUCGGCCACACUGGAACUGAGACACGGUCCAGACUCCUACGGGAGGCAGCAGUAGCGAAUCUUCCGCAAUGGGCGAAAGCUUGACGGAGCAACGCCGCGUGAGUGAUGAAGGUCUUCGGAUCGUAAAACUCUGUUAUUAGGGAAGAACAAAUGUGUAAGUAACUAUGCACGUCUUGACGGUACCUAAUCAGAAAGCCACGGCUAACUACGUG